rnacentral:rRNA from 1 species
CCUACGGGGGGCUGCAGUGGGGAAUAUUGGACAAUGGGCGCAAGCCUGAUCCAGCAAUGCCGCGUGUGUGAAGAAGGCCUGCGGGUUGUAAAGCACUUUAAGCAGGAAAGAAGGGGUGGAAGUUAAUACCUUUCAUCAUUGACGUUACCUGCAGAAUAAGCACCGGCUAACUCCGUGCCAGCAGCCGCGGUAAUACGGAGGGUGCAUGCUUUGCGCGGAAUUACUGGGGGUAGAGCGAGCGUAGGCGCUUGAAAGCCCCGGGCGUAACCUGGGAACUGCGGUGGAUACUGUCGAGCUAGAGUGUGGUAGAGGGGAGUGGAAUUUCCGGUGUAGCAGUGAAAUGCGUAGAGAUCGGAAGGAACACCAGUGGCGAAGGCGGCUCCCUGGACUAACACUGACGCUGAGGUGCGAAAGCGUGGGGAGCAAACAGGAUUAGAUACCCCAGUAGUC